rnacentral:SRP_RNA from 1 species
CCGUGCUAGAUGGGGAGGUAGCGGUGCCCUGUACCUGCAACCCGCUAUAGCAGGAUUGAGUUCCUAUUUUGAGGCCUAUGCUUUUGUAGGGCUGGCUUAAGUAAGUGGUGACGACGAUUGGGUCCUGCGCAAUAGCACGCUAUGAAUUCCGUCAGGUCCGGAAGGAAGCAGCGGUAAGUAGUUGCUGUUAUGUGCCGCGGGGAAGCCUGAUCCGAGCUAACUGCUUGGGUAUCGCCUAUGAACUUAGGUCGAAGGUAGGGCGCGG